CCUACGGGUGACAGCAGUCGAGAAUCAUUCACAAUGGGGGAAACCCUGAUGGUGCGACGCCGCGUGGGGGAAUGAAGGUCUUCGGAUUUUAAACCCCUGUCAUGUGGGAGCAAAUUAAAAAGAUAGUACCACAAGAGGAAGAGACGGCUAACUCUGUGCCAGCAGCCGCGGUAAUACAGAGGUCUCAAGCGUUGUUCGGAAUCACUGGGCGUAAAGCGUACGUAGGCUGUUUCGUAAGUCGUGUGUGAAAGGCGCGGGCUCAACCCGCGGACGGCACAUGAUACUGCGAGACUAGAGUAAUGGAGGGGGAACCGGAAUUCUCGGUGUAGCAGUGAAAUGCGUAGAUAUCGAGAGGAACACUCGUGGCGAAGGCGGGUUCCUGGACAUUAACUGACGCUGAGGCACGAAGGCCAGGGGAGCGAAAGGGAUUAGAUACCCUAGUAGUC
rnacentral:rRNA from 1 species